GGAGAGAUGGCUCAGUGGUUAAGAGCACUGGUUCUUCUUCCAGAGGUCCUGAGUUCAAUUCCCAGCAACCUCA
rnacentral:tRNA from 1 species